UUUCCAGUUUUCUUCCUCUCGCCGACGUAACUUUCCGGUGUCGCUGCCGCCUCGUCCGACCACCUACGGCCAUGAAAUUGGUGUCCAUCUCUUUGCCUUGAAACAAGGCUUCUAUCUAUAUAUGCCUUGCACCCUAUCAUUCACCAUAGACGACGAAUCGAAGCCAACAAGUUCACUGUAGCAGCUCGGGUUUUCUGGAAAUUUUCCAGAUUCCGGCCAUCUGCGGCGGCAUUUUUGAGCUUGAUCGAUGCGCCUCGAGACGUGGAUGAUAUCCCUCCAAGCUUUUUUCCACAAAUCGAAGUGAAAUUGACGAAUCGAAGAUGAGAAAGAUGUUUGGAUGGUUGAGACGAAGCUGCUGCCAAAAUUUAGUGGCCGGAGGCGGAGGUUGCUGGUGUGGGAACAUUGCGGUGAACAGUGACUGCGGGCGACGUGCCAAGCUACUGCUCGACGUAGGAAACCUGUAGCGUGGUCGCCUAAACAGUACUGUGAGUUGACAUUUAUUUAAAUUAAUUGUGCAUGCAGUAUAUUAGCAUUUUCCGAUUGAGAUUUAAUUUAUAAUUUGAAUUAUUGAGUUUUAUGGUUUUAUGAGAUUUAUUUUAUUGAGCUUGAUUUCUUGAG